CCAAGACGACUGUGAUUGGUUUAAAGAAAUCCCAAUAAACCAGAACACGUUUCUAGGGUCUGGCAAUGCAAGACUUCCCCAAAAGUAAUGACACAUAUCACCAUGGUACCAUUUAGUAACAUUAGUUUUAUACUGAGGUCAAACAGGGUCAAGCUUGACCAGGGAAAGAGGAUUCUCAAAUUGAGUGAGUGUUAUUAGUUGGGUCUGCGUGAACUCUAUGAAGCCUUAAGCUCAUCUCCAACAUCUGAAUAAACCUUUGGGUGACUGAAGAUAGUAAUAUCGUCUAUCUGGGUGGUAUCAGUUUUCCACACUUGACCUUAUAUUUUACGUUUAAAAUAUAUAUAAAUUUUAAAAAGGCCCUGUCCAACAUUGUCCUUGUGAUGUCAAUCAUCUUCCAAGCUGACCAAAUGUUCUAAAUGUUUACACAUUAAGGGAGGAACUAUGUAGAAUGCCAAUCAAACCACCUCAACAAUAACCUGUUGAAUUGAACCUCCGCUAAACUUCCUCUGCAGCAGUCCACACCGGAGCUGCUUUGGUUCAACACUCAUAGAAAAGGUCUACCUCCAUUCUCAUUGCUUAAACACUUCAUUGGCACUUUGUUUUCCAAGCUGCAGAGCUUCCGUUGAAGGUGCCAUUAUCUGUGACACCAUAAGUAAUACAGUACCUGCGAUCAUGGAUGACUUACUGUGUGUCACAGUGAUGUCUCAUGUCUGUCUGUGUUUGAACUCAUGUCUAAUGCAGCUGUGCAAAUCUAUGCAGAUGUCUUGUCAUCUCAGCUGGUUGUUGGGAAGGAUCAACCCAAAGAGUGAUUUUUUUUUAUAAAAAGUUGAAUAAGUUUGGACGAAAUAGUUAUAUUUAUAAGAAAAUAAUGCAUACCUUUUUGAAUGAAAAUCUUUUUUUAGAGAGAAAUAUACCUGUUUGUUGUCAUUUCUAGGCUGUUUGUCUUAUCAUGCGUGUCCUAACAGUGAACGGGAAUUCCACUGGUGAGUUGGACAUAUCACUCAUACGUAUGUCUAUUUGACUGUUGGGGUGUGCCAUGUAGUAGAGCUGGCAAGAGAUUCAUGAGCACUUCUAAGUUUUACCCAAACUGUUCACCAAUAGGGAGCAUAACCCCAGGAAAACCCCAAGAAGCACCAGGAAUCUCAAUUAUUAAUCCAAGAGUGCCGCAUGAAAUGCAACAUCAGGAGCACUUUCUGAUCAGUCACCCUUUAUAAACAAUGAGAAAAUCUAAAUCACUGUGAUGUCUACCUGUUAUAUACCAUGCUAAAGCCAGCAACCAGUUAGCUUAGCUUAUAAAUCAUUAAUAAAGACUCAAGAUUGUCUUACUUUCCAGUGAACCAGCAGCAAACGUUAGCAAUUCAUCUGUAAAUAUAAAUAGUAAUAAGUCAUUAAUUAAGGGUACUCACACUAUUCUAGACAAAAGUCUGCAUUUGUAAAUAUAUUAAGAAAUUAGUUUGGGUCCAAAUGCUCUGCAGACCUGUUCCAGGAGGUCAGAGGUCAACCAUUAAUUAGAGGAGUCUUUCUGAUGAGUUAAAAAAAUGCAGUAAAAAGUUGUUUUAUUUAACUGGUAAAGGCUUAUUGAUAUUUAAAAAAAAGUCUCUGGAGUGUCCGGGCCAAGAUAGGCAGCACUAAUAACAAGUAACUGGGAAACAGAAAAAUAUCAGAAUAAAAAAGAUGUGAUGCAAUUUCUUUCUAAAGUUGACUAAAAUGGCACCUCAAAACAACCCAAAAGAUAAUGUAUCUAAAAAUAUGAAAUAAUCAAGACCAAUCCAAAACAAUGCAGUAAAGAGAUUAACAACAUUCUAAAAAUACCUCAAAACAUUGGCAGCCAGAAGAUAGAGCGUCCAGUUUCAACAGCAAUCAUUUGAAUUAAUAAAAGAUUUUGCAAUUUUAGAUCUGACUUUAGAAUAGAGCUGGUCAAUAUGGCUAAAAUCCUCUUUUCCCAUUUAAUAUCUCAAUAUAUAUAUCACGAUAUAGCUAGUUUUCUGGUACGUCAACAUUUAAAAAGUCCAUAUGAAAAGUACAUAUUAAGGAGUAUUUUCUCAUUUGAUGAUGAUUGAUUGAACAUAACAUGCAAGGAUCAAAACGUCCAAAUGCAAACGUUGUAAUGAACGCAGUUUUUUUUUUUACAUUGCUAUAGAAAACAUAUUUAAAAAAAAUACAUACGAUAGAUAUCAUAUUUUUAAAUUGUUUGACGAGAUAUAUUGUCAUAUCACCAAGCCAUACUCCAGAAGCUUCCAGGCAUCAGUGAAUCUUUUCUUCACUCUGUAUAGAGGGUGCCUUUUGUUAGACAGUUCUUUGACUGCUCCUGUCUGAAGGGAGAGCGUGAGCGCGGUUGGAUUCAAACACUGAACCUUCACGUCCAUGUUUUCCGUUGUCUGAUUGACAGGCGAGGGAAAGACACAGCAGCCUGCAGCACGCUUGGAUUAAACACCAGUCUCUCCUGCUGUGGUAUAACCACACUGUAAUUUGUCUCACUUCAUGUCAAUUUUUUACAUUGUAACAUAUUUGGUUCUGUCCACAUUAUGUCCUGGUUACUGUUUGUUUGACUGUUUGUCUUGUUGAAGACUGUCACUCCGACACUGUAGACUGUACUGAUUCAUUUUUUUAAAUUGAAAGCAUUUUUCAAAAUGCCGCCUGCUGCGUGUCGGCGUGGUAAACAUCCCGAUGCUGUCGCUGUGGGUUGAGUGUGUGUUGCAGUGACAGACGGACAUGCCAUCGAGUGUGUUUGCUGUUGCUUGUCUCCACUUGGUUGGAUGUUGUUUUGGAAUUUAGUGCUUUCGGUGAGCUCAUUGUGCUCUGUGUGAGUACUUCCAUUCACCACUGACUAAUGGCACUGUUUUCAGAAUGCUUCAAACUAUUCAAAAUAUUUAUCAUGCAAUUUUCUUAGCAUUUUGGGGGAUUUUUUAUACAAAUAAAUACUUUACAAUC